rnacentral:rRNA from 1 species
UACGUAGGGGGCUAGCGUUGUCCGGAUUUAUUGGGCGUAAAGAGCGUGUAGGCGGCCAGGUAGGUCUGCUGUGAAAACUCGAGGCUCAACCUCGAGACGUCGGCGGAAACCAUCUGGCUAGAGUCCGGAAGAGGAGAGUGGAAUUCCUGGUGUAGCGGUGAAAUGGCGCAGAUAUCAGGAAGAACACCCGUGGCGAAGGCGGCUCUCUGGGACGGUACUGACGCUGAGACGCGAAAGCGUGGGGAGCGAACAGG